UACGUAGGUGGCAAGCGUUGUCCGGAUUUAUUGGGUUUAAAGGGUGCGUAGGCGGCCUUGUAAGUCAGUGGUGAAAUACUCCAGCUUAACUGGAGGGGUGCCAAUGAUACUGCAGGGCUUGAGUACAGAUGAGGUAGGCGGAAUAUGACAUGUAGUGGUGAAAUACUUAGAUAUGUCAUAGAACACCGAUUGCGAAGGCAGCUAACGAAACUAUAACUGACGCUGAGGCACGAAAGUGCGGGGAUCAAACAGG
rnacentral:rRNA from 1 species